rnacentral:rRNA from 1 species
GACGAACGCUGGCGGCGUGCUUAACACAUGCAAGUCGAGCGGUAAGGCCUCUUCGGGGGUACACGAGCGGCGAACGGGUGAGGAACACGUGGGUGGCCUGCCCUCAGCUCUGGGAUAAGCCUGGGAAACUGGGUCUAAUACCGGAUAUGACCUUUCCUCGCAUGGGGUUUGGUGGAAAGUUUUUUCGGCUGGGGAUGGGCCCGCGGCCUAUCAGCUUGUUGGUGGGGUGAUGGCCUACCAAGGCGACGACGGGUAGCCGGCCUGAGAGGGCGACCGGCCACACUGGGACUGAGACACGGCCCAGACUCCUACGGGAGGCAGCAGUGGGGAAUAUUGCGCAAUGGGCGGAAGCCUGACGCAGCGACGCCGCGUGGGGGAUGACGGCCUUCGGGUUGUAAACCUCUUUCGACCCCGACGAAUUUGGACGGUAGGGGUAGAAGAAGCACCGGCCAACUACGUG